CGAUGUUGGUCAAAUAGCAGAAGCUGUUGUUGGCUUUUAGCCCUUAAUGGAUUUUGAUUAUCCCAAACAACACGAGCUAAGAUUGGCAGUCCUACAAUUUCUUGUUUUUAAGGACAACCGAAUCCCAAACAACAUUAGUGCAAUUUGCAGUACCAUAUUAAAGUCGUAUUAAAAAUAUAAAGAAGGCUCUGCAUGAGUAACUCAACGAUUAAACUGUAGAUACUGUAGGUACAAAUUAGUUUCAGAUUCCAUAUAAUACAUUCUUUAAUCCUGUUUAUUUUGAUAUU